rnacentral:rRNA from 1 species
ACGGGGUGCAGCAGGCGCGAAAACUCCGCAAUGCGCGCAAGCGUGACGGGGGAAUCCCAAGUGCCGUUGGUCUUAUGAUCGACGGUUUUUAGGAAGUCUAAGAAGCUUCCAGAAUAAGGGCUGGGCAAGACUGGUGCCAGCCGCCGCGGUAACACCAGCAGCCCAAGUGGUGACCACGAUUAUUGGGCCUAAAGCGCUCGUAGCCGGAUCAGCAAGUCCCUUGUGAAAUCGGGCCGCCUAACGGUUCGGCGUGCAAGGGAUACUGUUGGUCUUGAGGCCGGGAGAGGUCGGAGGUACUCCUGGGGUAGCGGUGAAAUGCUCUAAUCCUAGGGGGACCAUCAGUGGCGAAGGCGUCCGACCAGAACGGACCUGACGGUGAGGGGCGAAGGCUAGGGGAGCGAACGGGAUUAGAUACCCCGGUAGUCCUAGCUGUAAAGCAUGCGGGCCAGGUGUCUAGCGCUCCUUGAGGGCGCUAGGUGCCGGAGGGAAGCCGUUAAGCCCGCCGCCUGGGAAGUACGGCCGCAAGGCUGAAACUUAAAGAAAUUGGCGGGGGAGCACCACAAGAGGUGGGACCUGCGGUUCAAUUGGAUUCAACGCCGGAAAACUCACCAGGGGCGACAGCUGGUUGGCGGCCAGAUUGACGAUCUUGCCCGACUAGCUGAGAGGUGGUGCAUGGCCAUCGUCAGCUCGUACCGUGAGGCGUCCUGUUA